rnacentral:rRNA from 1 species
AUUGAACGCUGGCGGCAUGCCUUACACAUGCAAGUCGAACGGCAGCACGGGUGCUUGCACCUGGUGGCGAGUGGCGAACGGGUGAGUAAUACAUCGGAACGUACCUUAUCGUGGGGGAUAACGCAGCGAAAGUUGCGCUAAUACCGCAUACGCCCUGAGGGGGAAAGCGGGGGACCGUAAGGCCUCGCGCGAUUAGAGCGGCCGAUGUCUGAUUAGCUUGUUGGGGAGGUAAAAGCUCACCAAGGCGAUGAUCAGUAGCUGGUAUGAGAGGACGAGCAGCCACACGGGUACUGAGACACGGCCCAGACUCCUACGGGAGGCAGCAGUGGGGAAUUUUGGACAAUAGGGGCAACCCUGAUCCAGCAAUGCCGCGUGAGUGAAGAAGGCCUUCGGGUUGUAAAGCUCUUUUGUCAGGGAAGAAACAGCAGCUCUAACACAGUCUGCGAAUGACGGUACCUGAAGAAUAAGCACCGGCUAACUACGUGCCAGCCGCCGCAGUAA